CCCACCGCGCCGUGCUCGCCCCGCGUCGCGCCCGCGACCCGCUCGCCCCACGCUGCUCCCUGACAACGGUUCUGAGGGCUGAGAAGAGGGAUGCCGAAAACAUCUACGUGUUCAACAUCAUGGGCGUAUUUGAAGUUGAACACCAAGAAGAACAUAUAUGUCCUACAUCAAGAUGGAGUUCAUAGUACUCGAUCAGUUGGAUAAGUCAGGUAGAGUCAUGGUCUUCAUGCUCAGUCACUGUUUUUUCAGUAAUCAAACUUCCAAAUGUCAUCUCUCUACUUGUCAAUUUCUUCAUGGUGCGAUUUAUCUUGCUGUUCACCGGAUCAUCAAGGAUUCUUUGUGUUAUGAGAUCACAAAGAUGUGAUUCCAUCAACCACAUAAUUUUUAACUUGAUGGAUCCUUAGUUCCUGAACUUUGAAGUCGAUGGAUCCUUCGUUCCUCUCUUGGAUAGUACAUGAAUGGAGUGACACGUCAACAAAGCUGAUGCAUACUUGUAUAUGAAGUUUGAUGCUAUUACCAAGAAAUGGGCUGAAAACAUAUGUAUAAAUCCAUCGACUGAAACUUCAAUUAGUCACGCACUUCUUUUUGCAACUGUUCACUGAUAUUAUUACAACUAUCAUUUUUUGGUUUAGAGACUGAAA